rnacentral:rRNA from 1 species
CACGUAAGGAGCGAGCGUUGUUCGGAAUUAUUGGGCGUAAAGGGCAUGUAGGCGGUUACAUAAGUCUGAUGUGAAAUACUACAGCUUAACUGUGGGAACGCAUUGGAAACUGUGUGACUUGAAUCUGUGAGGGGUAACUGGAAUUCCUAGUGUAGGGGUGAAAUCUGUUGAUAUUAGGAAGAACACCGAUGGCGAAGGCAAGUUACUGGCACAUGAUUGACGCUGAGAUGCGAAAGCGUAGGGAGCGAACAGGAUUAGAUACCCGCGUA